CUUUUAAAGAGGGUAAGGGUAGAGUUGCAUAUAUAGGGUUUAAAGCUUAGUUUUUGAUGUUUUAAUGGUGUAAGCAUGAUUAUGUGUAUGUUUGUUGUUUGUGUUGGGGGUGUUAGGUAGUUUUAGACCCCUUUGAACAUAUACUUAAGUAUAUGUGAGUUGAGGGAGGAGUUAUGCAUGUUGACGGAGGGAGGUUGCCGUCGGGGCUGAGUUCUGGAUGAACUCAGGUUCGGCAGCCGAAGGAGGAUUCGGCCGCCGAACAUGCCAGACUUUCGUCUCUGGAGGAGACAUUCGGCCGCCGAAGGUGCAGCCGAAGGUGCCCUGUCCAGCCUUCCUUUGCUUGUUUUGCAUGCAUGUUUUGAGAUGUUCUAGAGGGGUUUUGGGGAUUUGUUUAUCAGUUGUAUAGAGUUUUUUUGGUACCUCAUUUGCGUCCUCCAUUGUAGGAUUGGACCCAAGGAACCGAGGUGUUUAGCAGGAGUAGCUGCUUCAGAGUUAGAGGUAGCCCAAAGUUAGCCAAGCAGAGGCUACAGGUGAGUGGAACUAAACUUAAUAUUUUAUCUUGAGAAAUGACACGGUUCUAGCAUGAUUCAUGCAUCAUAAACUGCCAUGUUAUGUAUUAGGGUGUGUUGCAUUAGAAUUCACGAAUAUGAUGCAUUGCAUAAGAUGUUGUUCCUAUGGAUGAAUGUUGGAUGAUCUUUAGCGCUUGAUAGAGAUCAGAUACAGAGUUAUGGCAUGAGAUAGCCAUACCAGGUCGCCCCUGGAUAGGCCAGGUCGCUCCUGGUACUAUGGACAGAGCAGAGUUAAGAGUAGACCAGGUGAUGACAUAGUCUCCUUGGCACAGUUGGUCAUGUUAUGAUAUCAGAGAUAAGAGUAGACCAGGUGAUGACAUAGUCUCCUUGGCACAGUUGGUCAUGUUAUGAUAUCAGAGAUAAGAGUAGACUAGGUGAUGACAUAGUCUCCUUGGCACAGUUGGUCAGAUUAUAAUAUGUAGUAGAGGGCUAUUGGUGACAAAUUCAUCCGUUAGAUGAUAUGUUUGUGAUGUGAUGCAUUUCAUGAAAACAUGUAAUUAAUGAAUGGUGUUAUUGUUCCUCCUCACUGGGCUCUAGAGCUCAUCCCACUCCCUUAAUCCCAGUUUUGCAGGUCCUGAGAUAGCUAUAGGAAGUCAAAGUCAGCAAGAGUACAGAGGAAAGUUAUGCAUGAAUGUAUGUUGUAAUAGUAUAGUGGACAUGAUGUAAUUAAAAGAUUAGUUGUAAUGUAAUGUAUAGAUAUGUACUGUCGUAUACUGGAUAGACUUGUGCUUUCCCUAGUGUCUUUGCUAUUGUAUGAUGUAUGAUUACUCCCUUGGUACAUGACUCCUGUUUUACGUUUCUUGAUGAGAAAUGUGUGUCUUAGGCUUAAUGUAUGGCUUUGAUGUGAUACCAGUGGGACGUGUUACAGAUUAAAAGGGUUCAAUCCCUUGACCCACAGCAGAUAGUAGUCCCUGGUAUAGGCCCUGAGGGCCAUUUCAGAUUGACAUAUCUUAGUAGCAGUAGUUAAGCCUACAGAGUUUUACAGGAUUGCUGAGUGGCUUUGUAUCAUGUAUGGGAUUUAUCAGGUACACAGAGAGUAUAGUUGGCUGACUACGGGUCCCGGCGGUCUUAAGCCGAUCUGGAUCCUAGUGCCAGUGAUGGUUCGGACCGUUACUAAGGGGUACCAGUUUCCGGGUCGUUACAGAUUGGUUUCAGAGCAUAGGGCCUCAAGAGUACGAUGUGUUGAGCAAAGAUGCUCACGGACUAGAGAUAUCCCACAUCGGAAAGAGGUGUUGUCUUGUAUAGGAAGGGAAGUACAAUAGGUAAAAUCAUGUCCACUAGGAUAGGAUGUGGAGUCCUGUCUUGCAUGCUGCUGUGAAAUGCCAUGAUGAGAUGAUGCAUGUGCAUUAUUGAUAUGUUUGAUAUGUGCUGAGGAUUCAUGUGUUCUCACAUGGAUCAUUUGCUGAUUUUUUUUUUGUGUGAUGUUGUGCCUUUCAAAGGCAGGAUGAGAGGAACUCAUCGAUCUGUUAGAUUGAAUGGAGCUCCACCAGAGGAUGAGGACAUGGAUGCUCACCUCCCCGUUCUGCAAAGGGCAACAUCAGAUAGCUUAAGCAGAGAAGGUACAUCAAGGGACCCUAGAAGGUCUGUUGAUGAGAGUAGAAGGGGAGUUGUUCAGAGUGGUAUGUCGUGGUUUAUGAGAGAAAGAGAGGAGGAUGAGCAGAGUAGAGACGGGAGCUUUGGCAUGAGCAGGUUAGGAGGAGAUAUGGGUGAGUCCCAAGGAGGCACUCAGGCCUCGAGAUUUGUUCCACCUCAGUAUCCACCCUACCCGUGGGGGGCAGAGUACCUGAUGGGGGGUACAUCGGAGUGUCCUAGGUAUAACCCAUAUCCCACCUUUAUGCCCUAUCCUUCCUUUUACCCGCCAUAUCCACCAUCAUAUUCACAGUAUACCAUGUUUCCACCCUUCUUUUGUUACCCAGGUUCAGUAAACCCGACCCCAGGGAAUGUUGCACCUCCUCCACCACCAGUAGAAUCAGUAGCCCCAGUUGUCCAAACACCCAAGCCUAGUUCACCUGGAGGAAGUAUGGUGCAGAUAACAGACUCUUUGAGGUUGGAUGUUCCCACAUUUGAGACUGGUGAUGACCCUGUUGAGUAUCUUAGAAUGGUCAAGAUGAUAGCUGAUGAGUUGGGAGUCAGUGAGAGUAAAGCCAUUCAGAUGGCAGGGGUCACAUUGAAAUGUGAGAAGGCAAGGGAAUGGUUCACCCAGUAUGUGGACCCGAGGGUAGAAAGCUUAUCCUGGGAGCAGUUUGCUACAGAGUUUACAGGAUGGGCUUGUCCAGAUAGUUCAAGGGAGUGUAAAGAGGGUGAAUUUGCGCAGCUAGAGCAAACAGAAAACAUGAGUGUAGAAACUUACCCAGAGAACAGUGAUCGUUUCCCUUUGGGUGAGGCUGCUGCAAAGAAUAAAAAGAAAGUGAGAGGCCUGAAAGGGUCAAAGAAAAAAGAGUUCUGGAAUAGGGUAAAGUUUAGUAUGGGUUUUUGCGAGGGUUCGAGUUCUGGUUGGGAUAGUUCUAGCUGUGCGAGGUGCAGUAGGAGGCACAAAGGAGUCUGUUGGGCUGGGACAAUAGCAUGUUUUAGGUGCGGACAGAAGGGGCACAUGGCACGAGAGUGUCCCACUAUGACUGUAUCAGCAUAGUUCCCGCAGACAUCCUCAGACAAUAGAAGUCCACCAGAAGCUCCAGCCUCGGUGCAGGGCAAAGAUGUGGAAGUCCGUUAGUUCCGGCUCAGAUUUUCACCCAGGAUCAGCCAGAGACAGACACACCGAACACAGUGGUGCCAGGUAAGCUCACUUUUGAGUGUUCUGAUGUGUAUGGUUUUCUGGACACUAGUAGAAUAUCAGUUGAUGUGAAAAUAGUAAAGUGUAAUAAAGUUAGAUGGUCAGAGAUAAAGAUUUAGAGACGAGUGAGUCGUUAAAGGGUAGUGAGCCAGAAAAGAGCUCGAGAGCUAUAGCCGUGGAUUUGAAAUCUAGGUAGGGAGAGAGUGAUCUCUCAUCUCUGAGUGUAGACCUCAAAUAAAGAAAUAAGGCAAAGAAUAGUGUACAAAUGUGAAGAGUAAGAAAAAGAAUCAAAGUAAGCAAAGAGAAGAGUAAAUAAGGUAGAAUCGAGCAGAGAAGGAAGAGAAUAGAAUACAUGUAAAGUUAGUAUAAGGUUAGACAGAGAUUUCAGUUUAGUCUGGGAUUAGAUGGCAAGUGAGCUCUAGUUUAGAUAGUUUUGGAUACGGGAGGCGUGGAGUGUACACAAAAGGAGUUUGUUGGCAUGGGACUACGGCAUGUAUAGAUGCGAGCAGGAAGGACUCAUCUUGUGUGUGAGUGUCCUACUGCGGCCCUGAUUGGCACAGUCCCAGCAGAUGACUUCUCGUAGUAUAACUCAGCCUAUAGCUCUAGCCAUGUUUCAGGACAGUGGUUGAGGCAGGAGGAGAGAGUUCUCCUUUUCUUGGGUUGGUUCCCGAGGGAAGAUUCAUUAGCUUUAGCUUGGCUCUUCAUCCUAACUCAGUCAGAGGCUAACACCAUCGAACACGGUGACGUCAGAUACAGUCACUUGAGGGUGUUCAGAUGUGUAGGUUAUAGUGGACCCUGAUGUUUCUUUCCCUGUUGUUUUGAGAGCCGUAGAUAGAGGGGGGUUUGAUAACUUCUGGGCUUAGAGUGAUCUCUUUGGGUUGGUAGACCCGAGUGUGAUCCAUCUGUGGCAGAGUCAGUCAGUCAGUUCAGUUCAGAGUUCGUUGUGAGUAGAUGCGAUCCAGCUGACCUUAUGGUUCUAGAGUUGACUAUGUGAUGUCAUUCUAGGGCGGAUUGGCUAGCUACUCAUAGUAUUACAUGUGUCUGCAAAGACAAGGUAAGAAAGUAUAGAUUGUAAGAUGGAUCAGAGGCAGUCCUUAGGGGGGACAGUAUAGUAUACCCAGAAGUUUGAUAUCAGCCCUACAGGCUCGUGAAGUCUUGAGGAACGGUAGUCAGGGAUUUCUUGCUCUUGUUCGAGAGCAUAAUAGCCAGGUCAGGGAACCAGCCUCAGUACUCAUAGACAGAAAAAGAGAAAGAGUGUUAUAUGUUAUCCCAGACAAGCUAGCAGGUUUACCAUUGGUAAAAACCAAUAGAGUCUGGAAGUCAAGUGAGGAUGGAGACUAGACUCAUCUUCACCUCUUCCUUCAAAAUGGUACCUGUAGCAUGUAAGAGGUGAAAAAGUUGUAAAAACUAGAAAAGCAGUUGCAUAAGUGAGAACGAUAGUAGAGCAGUGUGAACUUGGUAGCAAAGGAUUCUAUCCGACUUAGUACUACACCCUGGAAUAUUCCAGUGUCGUUGUGAGAAACGAAGGAUGAAACCUUGAGAGUUUGUCACAACUGUGAAUAGUUGCACCACAUCACUACCAAGAACAGGUGUUCCCAUGCAGAAUGAAUGAUCGAUAGGACCAACUAGAAGCUGGUUGUUUUCCAUAAUAGAUCUGAGAGUUGGGACCUAUAUGUCAAAAGUUAGAGAAAAGUCAGUGUAGCAGUUGAGUCGAGAUGAGAUCUUUAUUAUAGUGCAGCGUCUAACCCAGAGGUAAGGGGUAAAACUGCUCAGCGACUCUGAGUAUACAAGACAGUAUUUACUGGGUAAGGCAGAUGAGAUGUUAGCUGCCCUCAGUCAGAAGUCGCUUAUCAGUUUAUCCUAUCGAAACAGAUAGCUAGAGAGCUAAAGAGCUAGAGAGCUAGAGAUAGUCCAGUGUAGUUAGAAGGGAUCAAAAGAGAAGAAGCCAGUAUAGUAAAGAAGAAGAAAGGCGGGCAAGGAUCAGAGUACGCAGCAAAAGCGUAGAAUAGUUCAGAAAAAUAGAGAAGCAUGCCCAUUAUCUACUGAGUGUUGUAGAUUGUAAGAGAACACGAUAUAGAGGCCAAGUUCUAUCAUACGAGUUCGAUUUGAGGGCAUGUCUGUUUGAACCUAAAGUAAGAAGAGAAUUGAAGCUAUAGGCAAGUUAUUGCUCCUCUGACCGGGUUAAGUAAAGAGAAGCAAAAGUUAGUGUGACCAGAGUAGUGUGAAUCAAGCUGAGAAGAGUCAAAGAAAAAGGAAAGUCAGUAGUCAGAUGAAAGAUUCACGUCAGUUGUUGUGUACUGACAGAAGUGAUAAGUAGGGAAACGUCAAUAGAGUCAGGAAGCGUAGACAACCCGGGAGUUUUACUCCAGUGGUAUCCGUGUCUCUUCUCAGAGGAAGGUGUUAGACUUUCCUUAAUUGCUUGUUUGCAUAUAUGUUUAUUGUUGUUUUAAACAUUCGAGGACGAAUGUGCUUAAAGGGGGCAAGAAUGUAAUACCCGGCUAGAUUCAGACAUCGGAAUUUCUACUAUCCGGUGGAAUUCGAGGAUGUCAGAGGUCUCUGGAAGGGUAAGAGAAAAUUUUCUAAAAUGAUUUCAAGUGUUUUAAAGGUUUAGAGUGAAAAAGGAUUGAGUUUUGAAGAGAAAAGGCCAAGGAGGCAUUCUGCCAUGUUCGGCCGCCGAAGGUAAAGUUCGGCCGCCGAAAGUGCCCAAUGUUCGGCCCCCGAAUGUUGCAUGGUUUUGCAUGCGAUUCGGCAGCCGAAGUUGAGUUGGUCAGCCAGCUAUUAUGCACUCCUCCGUCGGUGAAAUGGCCAGGUGUCGAUUUGGCAUCACAGACAGAGGAUUAGGCCACGUCUCUCAUGACUCAUCUGCAGGGUGUUAUCACACCAUGCACAAGUGUGGUGUUUGUCAAGUGAGGUUGAAGGUUUUGGGUCAAAAGGAGAGGGUUGGUGGUUUGGAGCUUGGGAAGAGGUGUUGGUCCAUAGAUCAGCUUUCAGGUUGUUCCUCUUCUGGUGUUAGAAGGUAAGGGAAGGUUUUGAACUUCUUUUACUGAUUUAUAUAGCUUUUAAAGAGGGUAAGGGUAGAGUUGCAUAUAUAGGGUUUAAAGCUUAGUUUUUGAUGUUUUAAUGGUGUAAGCAUGAUUAUGUGUAUGUUUGUUGUUUGUGUUGGGGGUGUUAGGUAGUUUUAGACCCCUUUGAACAUAUACUUAAGUAUAUGUGAGUUGAGGGAGGAGUUAUGCAUGUUGACGGAGGGAGGUUGCCGUCGGGGCUGAGUUCUGGAUGAACUCAGGUUCGGCAGC
rnacentral:lncRNA from 1 species